UGGGGAAUUUUGCACAAUGGAGGAAACUCUGAUGCAGCGACGCCGCGUGAGUGAUGAAGAUCUUCGGAUUGUAAAACUCUGUCCUUAGUGAAGAUAAUGACAGUAACUAAGAAGCAAGCCCUGGCUAAAUACGUGCCAGCAGCCGCGGUAAUACGUAUGGGGCAAGCGUUGUCCGGAAUUAUUGGGCGUAAAGGGUACGUAGGCGGUUUAAUAAGUCCUAAUUAAAAGGCUAUGGCUCAACCAUAGUAUGGUUAGGAAACUGUUGAACUUGAGUAGAUGAGGGGAAAGUGGAAUUCCAUGUGUAGCGGUGAAAUGCGUAGAUAUAUGGAGGAACACCAAUGGCGAAGGCAACUUUCUGGAAGCAAACUGACGCUGAGGUACGAAGGCGUGGGGAGCAAACAGG
rnacentral:rRNA from 1 species